UACGUAGGGCGCGAGCGUUGUCCGGAAUUAUUGGGCGUAAAGAGCUCGUAGGCGGUUUGUCGCGUCUGCUGUGAAAUCCCGAGGCUCAACCUCGGGCCUGCAGUGGGUACGGGCAGACUGGAGUGCGGUAGGGGAGAAUGGAAUUCCUGGUGUAGCGGUGGAAUGCGCAGAUAUCAGGAGGAACACCGAUGGCGAAGGCAGUUCUCUGGGCCGUAACUGACGCUGAGGAGCGAAAGCGUGGGGAGCAAACAGG
rnacentral:rRNA from 1 species